AAAAAUCAAUGUUUUUUUAUUUUGUCUUCGAAAGACCAACAUGCAUAUACAAGUGAUAAUAAAAAUGCAGAUGCAAAAUUGGAGAAAGGCUUAAAAUCAUAAAAAAAAUCUUGAAUUCGUUGAAGGAAGAGCAAAUCAAUGACCGACCGGUGAACGAGGAGGAAGACGAGGAAGAGCUCCAAGCUUUGGCGAGAACUGUCUAUUCUGAUGAGGAUAAGGUUGAAGUCAGCAGCGAAAACUGUUUGUGUGUUUUGUGAUGCUGAAGUUACCCUUAUCAUCUUCUCCAGUCGCAACCGCUAAGAAAAAAGAAGUCCACAUUGAAGACGAUUCAAUCGUUCAGUAUGAAUAAGUUUAGUUUAGUUUGUAUGCAAGUAAUUUAUAUUUUUAUAUUGUGAAUUGAAUAUUAAUUUGAUGAUUUCUAUAGUUAACUAUUAAUCCUCUAAAAGAGACAAAAUUGAUUCCGUAUGGAUGUGAAUUCUACAAUGAUAACAAGGUUAGUCUUCUGGCUUUUAUAAUUAUAUAUAUACGUUAUUAUGUAUGCUUAUAUAUUGCUGUGUAUAAAUGUUUGUUGUAAACUGAAUAUAUGAUAUGAGUUCUAUUGACGCAG
rnacentral:lncRNA from 1 species